rnacentral:rRNA from 1 species
UGGGGAAUCUUGGACAAUGGGGGCAACCCUGAUCCAGCGGCGCCGCGUGGGUGGUAAGGCCUUCGGGUUGUAAAGCCCUUUCACCGGGGAAGAUGAUGACAUUACCCGGAGAGGAAGCACCGGCUAACUCUGUGCCAGCAGCCGCGGUAAUACAGAGGGUGCAAACGUUGUUCGGAAUUACUGGGCGUAAAGCGCGUGUAGGCGGUUUGUUAAGUCGACUGUGAAAGCCCAUGGCUCAACCAUGGAAGUGCAGUCGAUACUGGCAGACUGGAGUCCCGGAGAGGGUGGUGGAAUUCCCAGUGUAGAGGUGAAAUUCGUAGAUAUUGGGAGGAACACCGGUGGCGAAGGCGACCACCUGGACGGGUACGGACGCUGAGACGCGAAAGCGUGGGGAGCAAACAGG